rnacentral:rRNA from 1 species
UACGUAGGGUGCAAGCGUUGUCCGGAAUUAUUGGGCGUAAAGAGCUCGUAGGCGGCUUGUCGCGUCGACUGUGAAAAACUGGGGCUUAACCCCGGGCCUGCAGUCGAUACGGGCAAGCUAGAAUUCGGUAGGGGAGACUGGAAUUCCUGGUGUAGCGGUGAAAUGCGCAGAUAUCAGGAGGAACACCGGUGGCGAAGGCGGGUCUCUGGGCCGAUAUUGACGCUGAGGAGCGAAAGCGUGGGGAGCGAACAGG